rnacentral:rRNA from 1 species
UACGGAGGGUGCAAGCGUUAAUCGGAAUUACUGGGCGUAAAGCGCGCGUAGGCGGCUUGUUAAGUCGGAUGUGAAAGCCCAGGGCUCAACCUUGGAACUGCAUUCGAUACUGGCAAGCUAGAGUACGAGAGAGGGUGGUAGAAUUUCUAGUGUAGCGGUGAAAUGCGUAGAUAUUAGAAGGAAUACCGGUGGCGAAGGCGGCCACCUGGCUCGAUACUGACGCUGAGGUGCGAAAGCGUGGGGAGCAAACAGG